rnacentral:rRNA from 1 species
AGAGGUCCCGCCUGCCCUGUGACUAUUAGUUUAACGGCCGCGGUAUUUUGACCGUGCGAAGGUAGCGCAAUCACUUGUCUCUUAAAUGGAGGCCCGUAUGAAUGGCAUAACGAGGGCUUGACUGUCUCCUUUUUCAAGUCAAUGAAAUUGAUCUCUCCGUGCAGAAGCGGGGAUAACCACAUAAGACGAGAAGACCCCGUGGAGCUUCCCGGGUCAAAACAGAUCACGUUAAGUACCCCAAAAUAAAGGAUUAAACUAGGUGAGCCCCGCCCCCAUCUCUUUGGUUGGGGCGACCAUGGGGUAAAACAAAACCCCCACGCGGAAAGGGAGAAUACCCUCCUACAACUAAGAGCUUCCGCUCUAAUUAACAGAAUUUCUGACCAAAUAGAUCCGGCAAGGCCGAUCAACGGACCAAGUUACCCCAGGGAUAACAGCGCAAUCCUCUUUUAGAGCCCAUAUCGACAAGAGGGUUUACGACCUCGAUGUUGGACCAGGACAUCCUAAUGGUGCAGCCGGUAUUAAGGG